rnacentral:tRNA from 2 species
GCGGGUGUAGUUCAAUGGUAGAAUGCAAGCCUUCCAAGCUUGUCAUGUCGGUUCGAUCCCGAUCGCCCGCUCCA